rnacentral:rRNA from 1 species
GUGCCAGCAGCCGCGGUAAUACAGAGACUGCAAGCGUUAUUCGGAUUCACUGGGCGUAAAGGGUGCGCAGGCGGUUGUGUGUGUCAGGUGUGAAAUCCCGAAGCUUAACUUCGGAACUGCGCCUGAAACUACAUGACUAGAGCAUUGGAGAGGGAAGUGGAAUUCACAGUGUAGCAGUGAAAUGCGUAGAUAUUGUGAGGAACACCAGAGGCGAAGGCGACUUCCUGGACAAUUGCUGACGCUCAGGCACGAAAGCAUGGGGAGCAAAAGGGAUUAGAUACCCCUGUAGUCCAUGCCCUAAACGGUGCACACUAGGUCUUGGAGGAUUCGACCCCUUCAGGGCCCAAGCUAACGCGUUAAGUGUGCCGCCUGAGGACUACGGCCGCAAGGCUAAAACUCAAAGGAAUUGACGGGGGCCCGCACAAGCGGUGGAGUAUGUGGCUUAAUUCGAUGCAACGCGAAGAACCUUACCUAGCCUUGACAUGCAUUAGACCGGGUCUGAAAGGACCCUUUCCUUCGGGACUGGUGCACAGGUGCUGCAUGGCUGUCGUCAGCUCGUGUCGUGAGAUGUUGCGUUAAGUCGCGCAACGAGCGCAACCCCUGUCCUUAGUUGCCAUCAUUAAGUUGGGAACUCUAAGGAGACAAACUCUCUCUGAGAGUGGGAAGGUGGGGAUGACGUCAAGUCAGGAUGGCCCUUACGGCUAGGGCUGCACACGUACUACAAUGCCUGGUACAGAGGGAAGCAAUACCGCGAGGUGGAGCAAAUCCUAAAAACCAGGCCCAGUUCGGAUUGUAGUCUGCAACUCGACUACAUGAAGUUGGAAUCGCUAGUAAUGGCGCAUCAGCUACGGCGCCGUGAAUACGUUCCCGGGCCUUGCACACACCGCCCGU